UACGUAGGGGGCGAGCGUUGUUCGGAAUUACUGGGCGUAAAGGGAGCGUAGGCGGGAGAAUAAGUUAGGAGUUUAAUUCACAGGCUCAACCUGUGAUCGGCUUCUAAUACUGUUUUUCUUGAGUACGGGAGAGGGAGAUGGAAUUCCAGGUGUAGCGGUGGAAUGCGUAGAUAUCUGGAAGAACACCAGUUGCGAAGGCGGUCUCCUGGUCCGAUACUGACGCUGAGGCUCGAAAGCUAGGGGAGCAAACAGG
rnacentral:rRNA from 1 species